GGGGUCAUAGCUCAGYUGGCUAGAGCGCCUGCCUUGCAMGCAGGAGGUCAWGGGUUCAAGUCCCAUUGAUUCCA
rnacentral:tRNA from 1 species